GAUGAACGCUGGCGGCGUGCCUAAUACAUGCAAGUCGAGCGAACGGACGAGAAGCUUGCUUCUCUGAUGUUAGCGGCGGACGGGUGAGUAAAACGUGGAUAACCUACCUAUAAGACUGGGAUAACUUCGGGAAACCGGAGCUAAUACCGGAUAAUAUUUUGAACCGCAUGGUUCAAAAGUGAAAGACGGUCUUGCUGUCACUUAUAGAUGGAUCCGCGCUGCAUUAGCUAGUUGGUAAGGUAACGGCUUACCAAGGCAACGAUGCAUAGCCGACCUGAGAGGGUGAUCGGCCACACUGGAACUGAGACACGGUCCAGACUCCUACGGGAGGCAGCAGUAGGGAAUCUUCCGCAAUGGGCGAAAGCCUGACGGAGCAACGCCGCGUGAGUGAUGAAGGUCUUCGGAUCGUAAAACUCUGUUAUUAGGGAAGAACAUAUGUGUAAGUAACUGUGCACAUCCUGACGGUACCUAAUCAGAAAGCCACGGCUAACUACGUG
rnacentral:rRNA from 1 species